UGAAAAGAUUCUGAUCGAGUUAUUUCAUGUAAUUGAAAUAAAAUGUCGCAAUAUUAAAUAUUGGAUCGCAACUAAAGUUCGUAGUGGCACAUAUAUAAUUGAAUAAAUCUAUGUACAAAUGUUUAAACAUUGUUUCUGAAUUUCAUUUAUGAGAAACACUAUAAACUUUUGUUCCGACCUAAUACAACACCAAUGAUUUAAUAAGUUUUCAAUUUGUUAUCCAACAGGAUAUCAUAAAAAUUGAAACUUUAAUAUUGUAUAUAGCAUGACUUCUAUUGUUACUAUUGUUGAUAUAUUUAUUUUAUCUGUAUGUAGAAAAUUAACAUUCCAACUAUGACAACAAUAGUAAUAUAUAGUGGAUGUUACUCCAUAUACAAUUUUGGAUUUUGGACUUAGUUCCUCAUUUUCAUUCUCUCUAAGCGUUUAUUGUAAAUAUUAUUUUAUCCUAUUCCAUUAACAGAAUGUACAAUAUUUGUUGUCACGCUUUCAUAGUAAUAAGCUUUUACUCUUCAACGAGCUCUUUGAAAACUCUGACAAACUCCUACUGCAUAAAUAAUUUACAUAAUAAUUAUGCACAUGGCAUUUCGUAUGGUGUUUCUACGUAUAAACAAAAAGCAAAAUUAUAAUACUGUUAUUGAUAUACUCAACCAUUUUAUGCGCAAAUGCUUUUUCCAGAACUACAAUUGAUUUGGAUGUAAAAUUAGGAUACAAAAAAAAAGAAGAAAGAUUGUCAUUACUCAUUAUUGCUCGACAUUAAUUAACACAAUCCUGGGAAAGUUCUUUAAUUCAUUGAUUGAUCAAUAGCAUUAUGCACAAAUGCAGCUUUUACAGAACAUAAGUUGCAUUUGCGUACAAUGCGACUGAUCAAUCAGUAAAUUUAAAAAACUUGCACCUUAUUAUAAGUAGCAGUUAAUAACUUUAGUUUGCAAACUUUGUUAAGAUGACUAAUCUAGACUAUGUCAAGUAUAUAAACAUACUGAUUGUAAAGGUGAGACGUGUACCUGUCCACGAUUGUCUCCGAUGUACCGCUCAAAAUAUAGGGCGUUUUUUAAUUCAUCGAUUAAUUAAUCGCAAGUGCAGCUUUUACAGAACGAUGCUGUAUUUGCGCAUAAUGCGAUUGAUCAAUCGAUGAAUUAAAAAAUUAGCUCACAUUCGUGCACGCAGUAUUGUGAAUUACAACGGUGUUAGGUUAUAGUUUCGUACUAUUGCGUUUUCAUUUUGGAUAAAAAUGUUAACUCAGCACUGUCAGUCGUCCGCGACUGCACCGCAACUCUAUGGCCACGUUCAAAGCCCGGCUCAUUGCCAUCAUUCUAUCCAUAAACACGAAUAAACAAAAUAAUGCCAAUAACAGCUCGAAUCUCGAUCGCGAUUACAAAGUCGCGUCGCCGCGUUUCUCUCGAUCAUCAUCGAUCGUCUUCGCGAAGCGUCGUUAUCACUCGUGCUCUUCGGCCCCUUCCGCAAUUUUUCGGAAAUUUUCGCGUUUCUUCCCGCGGAUAGCGAUCGCGCGUCGCGCGGCGAUUCGUUCCUUUUGUCUCGUCGAAAUUCAUUUGGGCCGUGUGCAUUCAUAGGUAUUCGACCGUGUUUGUCCGAUCCUGUGUUCUAUAUUUGACUUGAAUGCUGAUUCGAAUUAUCAUUUUCUGAUGGAAUGGUCGUAACGUCCCUGGUUGAUUACUUCAGGACGCUCAUUCUUCUACCCAAAAUUCAAGCGCGGUAACAGUGGACUUCUAUAAUUACACCGAAGCGUAGAUAAACAUGUCCUUCGGCCACCCAGCGGCAAUAGCGGCGUACCAACGACGUAGGAUCGUAAACAGGUUGUCAUCAAUGAAACGGAUAUAACCAGAAGGUCCAUAGAAUCGGACGUGGAGUUACGUAUAUUUGUAAUCUCGAGUCUCAAGCCAACACAAUGCGUGUGUGUACCAAGUACAUACAAAGAUUGUUGUGGCGAGUAUUGAAGAUCGGCACGAUACAACGAUGAAGCCGCUAUUCCGUCGCGUUGUUCUCCUUUUAUAGUGGAGUUAGCAACAGAACGAAUGCAAUUUAACGUUACGUGUUUGUGGCCUCAAGUUUCAAGAUAACGUGAUGUUGCUUGGAUGCAACUGACAAUGAGUGCAGAGGUUGUUGCAGUAAUCAGCAUCGGAGAUACAGUAACCAGCGCGGAUCAAUGACGCAAUCACUAUGCCAUCCCGCUGUCACCAUUGUGAUAUCAUCGUAGUUUUGUGGCUGAUUGUGAGUAACUCCGUUCGUUGCGCAUCGGUCGGUGAGUCAGUAAUACAUUUUCUCAUUAUAUUUGCAUGUUUUUCAAAUGUCCUGCGCAGGAUCAAGGCAUAAUGUUAUCGCGCGAUUGUAUUCGUAUUUUCGCGAGUGAGUGAGUGAGUGAGUUAAUCUGAAGAAGAGGAAGAAGACUGGAAGACAACCUUGGGAUAUUCCUCGGAGUGAGAAUUGACGAGAGGAAGCCAACGUUUAUCGUCGUCGAAAUAUUGUGAAACAAACGAACCGCAACCGGUUCGUCGCGUCGCGCGUUUGUCUCGGGAGUGCCGUAUAAAUACUGGACUUAUAUAGACAUUUUUCAUAACUCCCAUUUGAUAAAAAAAAUCCUAAUUCGAGGGUCGGGAAUCGCACCCCCGCUGCUUGGCAGUGAAUAUUCUUACUAGGGCGUUGCGCAUGGUGGGCGUGCGCGCCGCACCGCGACGUUCCAUGCCGAGUGCCCGUGCACGAGGUAAUGCCGGGCCGCAUGUACGACAUGCCCCGUGUGUAUGUUGCGCGGCUGUCUGGUUGUGUGAGGUUUACACGCUCUGUCUUCGGCGAUCGGUUUGGUCCUAAGCGGUAAGAAUUCGGAUCAGUUGCCUUGGAUUCGCGCGUUUCUCUUGCUCUCGUCCACCCUAAGGCUUUCUUAGAUCCUUGAUACUCUUUUUGGAUUCUUUGGAUCUGGGGUUCGAGCUAGGUGAAUCACGUUUAAUCUGACUUGGUCAGAACUUGGCCUUGUAGGUUAAGCUUGUGACGAGAGGCUGGCUCUCAUUUCCUGAUUCGUUUAAAAUGCUAGACGUCGGCAAUGAGUACCUUCUUCUCUCGUCCUGCCGGAGUGUCUUGUCGACGCCGCUUGGAUAUAAGAUCCGGUGGGACUGAUUAAGAUGAUCCGUUGGCUGGGCGUAUGAACGAGUCAAUUUUAGACGUGAUUUUUGUGAGACAAGAGGCGUAGGAAUUCAAUACCAUUGAUUUCGUUUUCUUCCGCGUGGGGCUUACCCUUGUUCGGGGGUGGGUACGCGUGCGUUCUACUCGCCGACGCGGGGUGCUGAAUCCACGGGAAUCCCUGUGAAUGGGAACUCAUGUCAUGGGUUUUAUAAACCCGAAGUGCCGCAGUGUCGCGCGAAAAACUUUAUAAAUAAUAAGUCCACGCGCGCAAAUUUAGUAUUAUUCGCGAGUGUCCCGCGUGUACAACAAGUGGAAGAGGACAACCUUGAGGACACUGAGAGGAGGAGCAGGCCUGGGAAAGGCAUCGGGCCCCAGCGGAGCAACCUUGGGUAUCGUCGUAGCUUCGUGGCUGAGUAACUUCG
rnacentral:lncRNA from 13 species